CAGUAGGGAGGAAGGUAGUGUAGUUAACACCUGCAUUAUUUGACGUUACCUACAGAAGAAGCACCGGCUAACUCCGUGCCAGCAGCCGCGGUAAUACGGAGGGUGCGAGCGUUAAUCGGAAUUACUGGGCGUAAAGCGCAUGCAGGCGGCCUGUUAAGUCAGAUGUGAAAGCCCGGGGCGUUAACCUCGGAAUUGCAUUUGAAACUAGGCAGGCUAGAGUCUUGUAGAGGGGGUAGGAAUUUCAGGUGUAGCGGUGAAAUAGCGUAGAGAUCUGAAGGAAUACCAGUGGCGAAGGCGGCCCCUCGGACAAAGACUGACGCUCAGAUGCGAAAGCGUGGGGAGCAAACAGGAUUAGAUACCCUGGUAG
rnacentral:rRNA from 1 species